GUCUACGGCCAUGCCACCCUGAACAAGCCCGAUCUCGUCUGAUCUUGGAAGCUAAGCAGGAUUGGGCCUGAUUAGUACUUGGGUGGCAGACCACCUAGGAAGACCAGGUGCUGUAGGCA
rnacentral:rRNA from 1 species